AGGGGCGUAGUUCAAUUGGUAGAGCAACGGUCUCCAAAACCGUAGGUGCAGGUUCGAGUCCUGUCGCCCCUG
rnacentral:tRNA from 1 species